rnacentral:rRNA from 1 species
UUUAUGGAGAGUUUGAUCCUGGCUCAGAGUGAACGCUGGCGGCGUGCCUAAUACAUGCAAGUCGAACGAUGAAGCUUCUAGCUUGCUAGAAUGCUGAUUAGUGGCGCACGGGUGAGUAACGCAUAGGUCAUGUGCCUCUUAGUUUGGGAUAGCCAUUGGAAACGAUGAUUAAUACCAGAUACUCCCUACGGGGGAAAGAUUUAUCGCUAAGAGAUCAGCCUAUGUCCUAUCAGCUUGUUGGUAAGGUAAUGGCUUACCAAGGCUAUGACGGGUAUCCGGCCUGAGAGGGUGAACGGACACACUGGAACUGAGACACGGUCCAGACUCCUACGGGAGGCAGCAGUAGGGAAUAUUGCUCAAUGGGGGAAACCCUGAAGCAGCAACGCCGCGUGGAGGAUGAAGGUUUUAGGAUUGUAAACUCCUUUUGUUAGAGAAGAUAAUGACGGUAUCUAACGAAUAAGCACCGGCUAACUCCGUGCCAGCAGCCGCGGUAAUACGGAGGGUGCAAGCGUUACUCGGAAUCACUGGGCGUAAAGAGCGCGUAGGCGGGAUAGUCAGUCAGGUGUGAAAUCCUAUGGCUUAACCAUAGAACUGCAUUUGAAACUACUAUUCUAGAGUGUGGGAGAGGUAGGUGGAAUUCUUGGUGUAGGGGUAAAAUCCGUAGAGAUCAAGAGGAAUACUCAUUGCGAAGGCGACCUGCUGGAACAUUACUGACGCUGAUUGCGCGAAAGCGUGGGGAGCAAACAGGAUUAGAUACCCUGGUAGUCCACGCCCUAAACGAUGGAUGCUAGUUGUUGGAGGGCUUAGUCUCUCCAGUAAUGCAGCUAACGCAUUAAGCAUCCCGCCUGGGGAGUACGGUCGCAAGAUUAAAACUCAAAGGAAUAGACGGGGACCCGCACAAGCGGUGGAGCAUGUGGUUUAAUUCGAAGAUACACGAAGAACCUUACCUAGGCUUGACAUUGAGAGAAUCCGCUAGAAAUAGUGGAGUGUCUGGCUUGCCAGACCUUGAAAACAGGUGCUGCACGGCUGUCGUCAGCUCGUGUCGUGAGAUGUUGGGUUAAGUCCCGCAACGAGCGCAACCCCCUUUCUUAGUUGCUAACAGGUCAUGCUGAGAACUCUAAGGAUACUGCCUCCGUAAGGAGGAGGAAGGUGGGGACGACGUCAAGUCAUCAUGGCCCUUACGCCUAGGGCUACACACGUGCUACAAUGGGGUGCACAAAGAGAAGCAAUACUGCGAAGUGGAGCCAAUCUUCAAAACACCUCUCAGUUCGGAUUGUAGGCUGCAACUCGCCUGCAUGAAGCUGGAAUCGCUAGUAAUCGCAAAUCAGCCAUGUUGCGGUGAAUACGUUCCCGGGUCUUGUACUCACCGCCCGUCACACCAUGGGAGUUGUGUUUGCCUUAAGUCAGGAUGCUAAAUUGGCUACUGCCCACGGCACACACAGCGACUGGGGUGAAGUCGUAACAAGGUAACCGUAGGUGAACCUGCGGUUGGAUCACCUCCU